UGGGGAAUAUUGCGCAAUGGGCGAAAGCCUGACGCAGCAAUACCGCGUGAGUGAGGAAGGCCUUCGGGUUGUAAAGCUCUGUCAGGGUGGAAAAACGGUGGAGGAUCUAAUAGGUCCUUCAAUUGAUGGUACACCCAAAGGAAGCACCGGCUAACUUCGUGCCAGCAGCCGCGGUAAUACGAAGGGUGCAAGCGUUGUUCGGAAUUAUUGGGCGUAAAGCGCGCGCAGGCGGACGAGCAAGUCAGAUGUGAAAUCUCGAGGCUCAACCUCGAAAUUGCGUCUGAAACUACUUGUCUAGAGUGUUGGAGAGGGAAGGGGAAUUUCUCAUGUAGGGGUAAAAUCCGUAGAGAUGAGAAGGAACACCAGAGGCGAAGGCGCCUUCCUGGCCAACUACUGACGC
rnacentral:rRNA from 1 species